UGGAGUAACCCGAUUUGAAUUUUAAACUGUAUCACAGCCUCACUUGACACAGAUUUCUGAUUGGUUGAUCACGGUGGGAGGGAAAACUCUGUGGUUGACGUCACCAACGGGCCGGAAUCUGCAAGCGGGAGAAGUGCAGAGAACGAGAGACUUUUGACGACCGUUUGUCGUAUUUUUUCUGCGUUUUAACAAUCCGUGGGAUGAAUCUCCAACAUUUUUUUUGCUUGUCUGGAAAAGAUUCAAAUAAAAUCUUUGAAGUUUGCACGGUGAUCUAAAUUCUACACGUGAAAAUGAGUGAAUCAGAACCCAUGUUCCUCCACACUGCCAUUAUGGAGGUCCUACCAGAGCCACAAAAGACAUCCUGGAAGAACACUUGCAGUCCAUUGGAAUAAAUGGAGUUGUAUGAGGAUCUACGAUUCAUAGAAGAGGCUGACUUGCUGCCAGCUUUGAGACCUGUUCAAGCCCGGAUACGUCUUGCUUUCUGGAAAUUGAAAUACCAAACGCCAGAGAACAGCACAUCAUCAUCUGUUGAGACCUCACCAACACAAUCAUCAUCACUUUUGUUAUAGUCACCGAGAAGUUUGUCAUCCACAUCUUCCAGAAGCCAAGGACUGUACAUACAUUGACUGGGAGGACAGCUUUGAAAUUCCAUGGAAAAUGAUGAAAGCAAGACGUUUUUCCAAACUCUAAAAGGCUGCAGAUGAUGCAGGGAGAGCAGAGUGGCUGCUCAGAAGAGAUGAGAUGUUAAAGAGAUGCGCUUUCUUCUGCUCUGCUACUUUAAUGAGGAGGAUGCCAUGUUCUUGUAGAAGAUGCAGACGAGGUCCAGCUGCAGCAGGACAGUCUUGCUUUUCCCCAAGGAGGUUCAUGCUGAGUUGGAACCGCUCCAUCGUACACAACAACAUUGCAGCACUGUGCCUGAUGUUCAGAAGCUACUUCUGCUUUAACAGUCAUUAUCCAACUGAGCUGGCUUCAACCCUGGAGUUUCUGCAAAGCUGAUGUCCUGAGAUGUGCCACUCUACCUGGUUGGGAACAAAUUGAAGAGGCCAAGCUCAAGAAAGCCGUUGUCAGCAAAUGUAGGGCAGAGCAGGUUCUAAGGCAACUGCUAUGAUCUACAGUAUGCGGACUGGUUUCUCUUCCAUCUUUUUUCUUAUUUUUAAUCUUAAUUUGGUUCUCAAAUUGGUUCAUGGAUUUGAUAGUCUGCAAGUUUCAGAGAAUGUUUUUAUGUUUGUUUUUAUAAUGUUGUUUUUUUUCAGUGUGUUGUUUAAAAUCUGGAAGUAUUCAUGACCAGCAUGUCAACCAGAUUGAGUAUGCCACGGUUCAUGUACUUAAUGCAUUUAAUAUUUUAAAAACUGUCUAAUACUGCUACCACAAUUCAAAUGCUGUACUGAUGAUGGUGCUGCCCAAAUAAAGUGUAAAGCAUUUACA